CAUAACAGACAUGUAGCUCCCUGUAAGUUGCAUUCUGACCUGUCUGUCACAAGUGUCCAUCAGAGAUGUUAUUAGUGACUUUUCAGAGAAGCUCUCAACAUCAAGAUGGUGAUGUUAGAGAAUGUGGGAUAAAUGGAAUUUCACAGAGUCUAAAUUAGGAAUGAUUUUUAAAAAAAUUUUUAAUGUUUAUUUUUUUUUCUUUUAUUGAGAGACCCCCAACUGGGGAGGGGGGAGAGAGAGGGAGACACAAAAUCUGAGGCAGGCUCCAGGCUCUGAGCUGUCAGAGCAUGACGUGGGGCUCAAACUCAUGGACUGCAAGAUCAUGAACUGAGUCGAGGACCCGUGGAUCGAGGGGUCUCACGACAUCACAUCAUGGAUGCCGUGGAUGGUUUGUUCCAGAUUCAGGCUGGUUUCCGCGGAGAAAUCCUGACAGAAAUUCAGAAGACCGGGAGCUGCAUUCAGUUAGGAUGUGAAUACAUGAAAUAUUCAUCUCAGGACCUUCUAGAAGAAUGAGCUGGGACCCACUUUCCGAGUCCUGCUGGAACCAAAGACCAAGGUAAGGGCACAAACUGUCCCCCACAUCUUUCAUGCUUUUACAAAUUUUCAUGGUUAUUUCUCCAAUUAGUGAAGUGGUUGAAAACUACAGAAAACCUGGUAGGUAGGUGUCAUUAACCUUAGGUUAUUUUUGAGUUUAAAUUCCAGGUGGUAAAGGUAGAGUGUAAUAUUAGUUUCAGGUGUAAAUAUAGAGCAACACUUGCACAAGUCACUGGGUCCUCAUCCCAGGUGCACGUCUUAAUCCCCAUCACCUGUUUCAUCCAUUUCCCCCCCCCCCCCCCCACCAUCCCACUGUGGAAACCCUCAGUUUGUUUCCUAGUUAAGAGUCUGUCUGUUUGUCACUGUCCCCUUCCCCCAAUCCCCCCAACCCCCGCCCCCUUUGUUUUGUUUCAUUUCCAUGUGUUAGUGAAAUCAUAUGGAAUUUGUCUUUGACAGGCUUAUUUCACCCAGCAUAACAUUCUCUCGCUCCAUUCACCUCGUGGCAAAUGACAAGAUUUCAUGUUUUACAGCUAAAUAAUAUUCCAUUCCAUAUACUACAUCUCAAUUUCUUUGUCAGUUGAUGGAAACUUGGGCAGUUUCCUUAAUUUGGCUGUUGUAGAAAAUGCUGCUGUAUCCCUUUGAAGUAUUAUUUUUGUAUUCUCUGUGUAAAUAUCGCAUAGUGAAAUUGCUGGAUUGUAAGGUAGUUCUGUUUUCAAUUUUUUGAGGAAUCUCCAUGAUGUUUUGCAGAGUGGCUGCACCAGUUUGCAUUCCUACCAACAGUGCAAGAGGUUUCCUCUUUCCCCACAUCCUUUGCAACACAUGUGGUUUCGUCAUUCACUGAUUUUAGUCAUUCUGACAGAUGUGAUGAGUUAUCUCAUUGUACUUUUGAAUUGUAUUUCCCAGAACAUCAGUAUUGUUGAGCAUC